UGAGGAAUAUUGGUCAAUGGGCGAGAGCCUGAACCAGCCAAGUCGCGUGAAGGAAGACAGUCCUAAGGAUUGUAAACUUCUUUUAUACGGGAAUAACGGGCGAUACGAGUAUUGCAUUGAAUGUACCGUAAGAAUAAGCAUCGGCUAACUCCGUGCCAGCAGCCGCGGUAAUACGGAGGAUGCGAGCGUUAUCCGGAUUUAUUGGGUUUAAAGAGUGCGUAGGUUGUUCGGUAAGUCAGCGGUGAAACCUGAGCGCUCAACGUUCAGCCUGCCGUUGAAACUGCCGGGCUUGAGUUCAGUGGCGGCAGGCGGAAUUCGUGGUGUAGCGGUGAAAUGCAUAGAUAUCACGAGGAACUCCGAUUGCGAAGGCAGCUUGCCAUACUGCGACUGACACUGAAGCACGAAGGCGUGGGUAUCAAACAGG
rnacentral:rRNA from 1 species